ensembl:lncRNA
GAAGAAACUUUUGCUGGUGCCACUGCCCUGUGUCCUCUGUGUGGAUCCUGGUGUCAGGGCUUGACAAGAGUUCAUCUGUGGCUUGGCUAAUGUGCAGAGCAUAGUCUGACUGGCUCUGCUCAGUGCUGUGCUAACACUGCAAAAGGAACUUGAGCCCUCCUUGGAAUAUGAGCAAGUUUAUUAAAGUCAGCAGUGCAACGGGAAAGUAUGGAUUGCAUUUUAUGUGGACUGAGCUCACCUCAGCGUGUUACAAAAAGCUGCCCCUGAGCCUGAGCUGGGGAUCCCUCACCUGGAAGGGGCGGAUGAGGAGUUCAGCUGAGAUGCAGUGGUACACUGUGUGAUAAAGUCCCUGUAAAAGUGGGGCACUGCUCUGGUGAGGGCUGGGGCAGCUGUAUGCUGGUGUGAGGAGAAGGAGAAGGAGGAGGAGAGGAAGAGGAACCUGAAUGGCACAGAUAAGCCUCGAUGUCCUUGCCCAGCCCAGCUGCCCUGCCCUGCUCCCGCACCCCCUUGCUCAAGGCCAGGGCCAGUUUCAUUCCAUCCCAGUGGUGCUGCAGGAUCCCCAUCACACCCCAUGCCUGCCGCAGUGCUUUCAGAGAACCAAACUGCAGGAGGUAAUGCUGCCAGCAGAUUCUGUUUUCCCUGUCAUUGGGUUAACUGAGGAACAAAGACAAGAGUAAAAAUACCAGCUCUGAAAACCAUGGGGUGCAGGAGCUCUGUGCUAGAAAAAUUUCCUUUCACCUUCAGGAGGGGUGAUGGCAUCGAGCACCCUUUGUGGCGAUCCUAAGGGCGGCCAGGCUCAGCGUGUCUCUGGUUGCAAGCAGGGAAGGCUUCCAGCCAUGCAUCCCAGCAGAGCCCCAGUGACCGAGGGCAGCUCUUCCAGC